rnacentral:tRNA from 1 species
GUGAGUAUAGUUCAGUAGUUAGAAUCUUGUGUUUCCACCACAAUGGCCUCAGUGCGAAUCUGAGUACUCAUA